rnacentral:rRNA from 1 species
GACGAACGCUGGCGGCGUGCUUAACACAUGCAAGUCGAACGGUAAGGCCCUUCGGGGUACACGAGUGGCGAACGGGUGAGUAACACGUGGGUGAUCUGCCCUGCACUUCGGGAUAAGCCUGGGAAACUGGGUCUAAUACCGGAUAGGACUCCUGCCUGCAUGGGUGGGGGUGGAAAGCUUUUGCGGUGUGGGAUGGGCCCGCGGCCUAUCAGCUUGUUGGUGGGGUGAUGGCCUACCAAGGCGACGACGGGUAGCCGGCCUGGGAGGGUAACCGGCCACACUGGGACUGAGAUACGGCCCAGACUCCUACGGGAGGCAGCAGUGGGGAAUAUUGCACAAUGGGCGCAAGCCUGAUGCAGCGACGCCGCGUGAGGGAUGACGGCCUUCGGGUUGUAAACCUCUUUCAGCACAGACGAAGCGCAAGUGACGGUAUGUGCAGAAGAAGGACCGGCCAACUACGUGCCAGCAGCCGCGGUAA